CUGUAGUAUCCAUCCAGCACAGGAAUAUUCUAAGCGUGGAGAAACAAUGCGACUCAUUAACAGUGUGACUUUUCAAUUGUAAGAAUUGCUGCAUGCAGGAGUACAAAUCCUGCUGUACUCUGUGGAGGUAUAAUUGUGAAUGCAACGUGUACAGUAUCAGUAUCGGAGGAAAAGCAUACAUACAGCUAUGGCCAAGGACAGAGCUCUGCACCAGCUGAACCAUGGGCCUGAUCCAGUACGACAGUUGCUCCUCCACUCCAAUGGCAAUAAUUUCCCCAUGAUGUUGAGCACAGUCCUUGUGGUACCUUGACACCGCUAUAGGAAUCUGUGGAUGGAGGUUUCCUAUGUUGUACCAGGUAGAUGAGCUCAUUACAGCUUUAGUCAACACAACUGAAGUCAAGACACACAAGCAAUUUCAUUAACUCAGAGUGGAACAACUUACUAACUUACUGGUAAACACAUCAGUAGUCUACUGAACUGAGGCUUGAUGAAGAUGUGAGCUGUUGAUAAAGUUCCCUGAAAAUUUCACAGGCAAUGAUGGGGAAGAUGAUACCCUUAAUCAGAGCAUCAGAAUAAUCUGCAGAACGAACACAAGUUAAUACUGAAAGUAGCAAAGUUAAAGCCAAACUGUAAGUUUUUUUGACAUGUAUGAUACAGAAAAAGGAGAGAAGAAUGUCAUCAUAAUAUAUUGCAAUGAAAACAUUUUGUGAAAUUUCUCAAAUUAGCUGACAAUUUUUUUAUUAGCUGUCUUGUCA
rnacentral:lncRNA from 1 species